rnacentral:tRNA from 1 species
GGGGUUGUGGCUCAGAGGUAGAGUAUUCACCUAGCAAGUGUGAGGUCCUAGGUUCGAUCCUCAGCACCA